CAGGCUUGCUGCAGCACCUCCUGAACAAUUGGGCUGUCGUUGUCUUAACAGAGUGGUUGGGUUAAACAUAUUUGUCUAUGAUGUAACCUCCUGGCCCUCAGCUACCAGUGGAAACAACUCUUUCUGGUUUGACCUGGUUGAUAUCACAAGCUCUGCUUUGCCAGAAAUGUGACUUCUUGAUGAACAGUUGGUCUAGAUCUACCAAUUUGGAGUGAACUCAUAUUUGGCCACCUGCUGGAGCACCAGCGACCAAGAGGAGACCAGAUGAGUUUUCAAAGCAGUCCUCAGACACCCAGGACACACCUCAUCCUUUGCCUCGUGCUUUCUGCAAUGUUGCUGCUCACGUUCAUCUUCCUCUUAACCCUCGCCAUCAUCACCCCCUCUUGAUCACCAUCCUUCCUCCAUUCACUGUCUACCCAGCUCUUUCUCUGAGGUGCCCCUCCUGGGGCAGUGGCUUUGCUCUUUCUUUGGCAAGUUCCCCUCUGAGUUAUAUCCAGAUGGCUGAUAAUAGUUUCCCUGUCUCCUCCUCCUGCCUCGUGCCAGAAUCAGCCCAGUACUCAGCCCCCCAGGUCAGGGAAACCACGGCAAAUCCUACCUCUUCCAAAAUGAAGUUUCAAGACUCUCUGGCAGAGCAGUCUCACUCAAUGAAGGUACCCCAGGUAUCUGAGAGUGAUGUAAUUGAAACCAGAUGGAGGCACCAUCAAUCCAUUAAUUCUGGUCACAUAGAGUGAAAGAGCUUACUUAGGACUGAUCGAGAAUAUGGGGGGUAAGAAAGAAAGAGCCCCAGAAUUGGACUGCCCCUGAAUACAGGAUGAAAUCAUCUUGAUUUUUUUUCUUCAAUUAAAUUUACAUUUCAUUCUA